AGCGAACGCUGGCGGCGUGCCUAACACAUGCAAGUCGAACGUGAAAGGGGGCAAUCCCAAGUAAAGUGGCGUACGGGUGAGUAACACGUAGGUAAUCUACCCCAGAAUCUGGAAUAACCGGCCGAAAGGCUGGCUAAUACUGGAUAGAGCGACGGAAUCCGUAAUUGGGUUUUUCGGGAAAGGGAGCCUGUAAAACGGCCUUCGUUCUGGGAUGAGCCUGCGUCCCAUCAGCUAGUUGGUGAGGUAAAAGCUUACCAAGGCAAUGACGGGUAGCUGGUCUGAGAGGAAGAUCAGCCACACUGGAACUGAAACACGGGCCAGACUCCUACGGGAGGCAGCAGUGGGGAAUCUUGCGCAAUGGACGAAAGUCUGAAGCAGCAACGCCGCGGGAGUGAAGAAGGCCUUCGGGUUGUAAAGCUCUGUCGAGUGGGACGAAAAUGCUUGGAGUUCACAGCUCCAGGAACUGACGGUACCAAUAAAGGAAGCACCGGCUAACUCCGUG
rnacentral:rRNA from 1 species